rnacentral:rRNA from 1 species
UACGUAGGGUGCAAGCGUUAAUCGGAAUUACUGGGCGUAAAGCGUGCGCAGGCGGUUGGGCAAGACCGAUGUGAAAGCCCCGGGCUUAACCUGGGAAUGGCAUUGGUGACUGCACGGCUAGAGUGUGUCAGAGGGGGGUAGAAUUCCACGUGUAGCAGUGAAAUGUGUAGAGAUGUGGAGGAAUACCGAUGGCGAAGGCAGCCCCCUGGGAUAACACUGACGCUCAUGCACGAAAGCGUGGGGAGCAAACAGG